ensembl:miRNA Mir466k microRNA 466k
AUAUAUGUGUGUGUGUGUGUGUGUGUGUACAUGUACAUGUGAGUAUGUGUGUGUAUAUGUUUGUACAUGUGCAUGUGUGUGAGUAUGUGAAUAUAUGUGUAUAUGUGUGCAUGUGCAUGUGU